AGCAGAGUGCACUGUUGUGUCCUCACUCCAAGCACUUGCAGGGUGAGAUUAAACAAACACCCAACAAUAUCAAGGGGACUAUGACACCCACAUUCUCCAGACCAUGCUUACAUUCCAGGACACCCAAGUGGUAUCAGAGACCCAAACUUGUGCAACCUCCACAAGAGAAUCACAUUCAGCAGCAGAUGGACAUUUACAAAUAAUUCAGGAGCCCAACUCCAUCCCAGGUCCAUGUCCUGGUUCUACUCAGCACUCGCGGAUCUGCCUCUCAUCUACCCCAGGCUGUUUGCUGAGACAUCCAGGUGGACUUCAAGGCAUCCAUCCCAACACCUGCUGCUCCACUCCUGCUCCAGGGCCAGGAUGCAGUCACAGCAGUUUCAGGUCUGGGCCUGGCGGGCACUGGGGUGCUGGUCAUGGCAGCCCAUCUCAGAACCCACAGAGCGAUUUCACUGCAUGGAAAAGUCAAUGUGGUCCUUCAUCCAGGGCAAAUCCACUGAUUCUUCCUAAUGUGAGGUGAGGGAAAAGAGCUCUACAAGACGACUUCUUUCCUGUUGUCCUCUCUGUGAAUGGAAACCCC
rnacentral:lncRNA from 1 species